rnacentral:rRNA from 1 species
UGGGGAAUUUUGGACAAUGGGCGCAAGCCUGAUCCAGCCAUGCCGCGUGCGGGAAGAAGGCCUUCGGGUUGUAAACCGCUUUUGUCAGGGAAGAAAUCUUCUGAGUUAAUACCUCGGGAGGAUGACGGUACCUGAAGAAUAAGCACCGGCUAACUACGUGCCAGCAGCCGCGGUAAUACGUAGGGUGCAAGCGUUAAUCGGAAUUACUGGGCGUAAAGCGUGCGCAGGCGGUUUUGUAAGACAGAGGUGAAAUCCCCGGGCUCAACCUGGGAACUGCCUUUGUGACUGCAAGGCUUGAGUGCGGCAGAGGGGGAUGGAAUUCCGCGUGUAGCAGUGAAAUGCGUAGAUAUGCGGAGGAACACCGAUGGCGAAGGCAAUCCCCUGGGCCUGCACUGACGCUCAUGCACGAAAGCGUGGGGAGCAAACAGGAUUAGAUACCCUGGUAGUCCACGCCCUAAACGAUGUCAACUGGUUGUUGGGAAGGUUCCUUCUCAGUAACGUAGCUAACGCGUGAAGUUGACCGCCUGGGGAGUACGGCCGCAACGGUUGAAACUUAAAUGAAUU